rnacentral:lncRNA from 1 species
ACCUGCAGGGUUGGAACUGUCUUAAGAGUACCGAACCCGAAAGAGCCAACCAAGAGAUGUAAAAAUCAGGAUAACCACCAGGUAUUACUCGGUCUUCAUGAGCCAACCAAGGGAUGUAAAACGCAGCAUAACCACCAGAAAUAUCUAACUACCAAGUCCAGAAGAGCUGAGCAAGGGAUUUGAAACUCAGGAUAACCACCAGAAACAUCAAGCUAAUCCAGCCAACGGGAAUGGAAACAUUGCUUCCACCGCUUUGUCCUCCAAGCCACACUUCUGGGUGCAACUAAUAUGUACAUCAGAAUGCA